ACAUAAUGUGUUUGGCUGUUCACAUGUAUGGAGUCACAUGUGUGUGCAUGUGAAUGUGCACAUGGAGACCAGGAUUGGAUGUUAGCAAUCUUCCUCCACUGAUCUUCCAAAUUAUUCUUUGAACCAAGAUCUCAAACCCAGGGCUCAAUUAUACAGAGUAGUGUAGGUAGCUAGCUUACUCAGGGGACACCCUGUCAUCUCUGUCCCCUUUUACUGGUGGUAGCAGGGAAGCCACCACACUCACUUGGUAUUGAAUUUCCUUGGGUCUGGUAUCAGAACAUUGGUCUUUCUUUGAGACAAGGCUUCUCUUUCACCCUGGCUGGUCUAGAAUUCACAGAGAUCUCUUGAGACGUGGUAGUAAAGGCAUGUGGUGCCACCAUGCCUAGGCAAAACUCUGGUCCUUCUGCAUAUGUGGCAAGUAUUUUAAUGGGUGCCAUCCUUCCAAAUGAAUCUUUGCAGUUGUUAAGAAUCAGAUAGUAGCGUGUACUGCAUACCUAAUAUUUAGUAAGGGAGGAUAAUGCUAACUAAACUUUGUUAGUCUCAUGUGUGGCAUGGUAAGGAAAGUAGAUAGAGUUUUACUUUAUGUGUGUAUAUCAUAUAUAUAUAUAUAUAUAUAUAUGUAUCACAUGUCACUGCAGAUGAAGUCUUUUAGAAAUAAGCCUUUAGUUAAUGCUAGGAAGGCUUUUAUGAACAAAAACGUACUCUUGGAGCUACAGGAACUACUGCAGAGAUCAUUGAGCCUCUGCUCCACUGUUACUUCUCUGAGUAGAAAGAUAUCUCUAUCCCCCUGAGUCUCUCUAGGUCCCUGCAUAUAUGCCCUUGUCUUUUCAUUUCUGUCACUGAACAAUAUACACACUCACAGACUAUACCUCCCUUGGGUCCUUCAGCCCCAAAGAGAGUGGAAAAUGAUUGUUAAGUUCAUUGGCCACGCUCUUGAGAAAGCAAGAAAUCAGCUGUGAUGAUGGAUGGGCUCACGGACCCUGUCAGUAGACGACACUGUCGACCAAUGGAACCGACCACAAGGACGUGUUGGAGGUUCACGGGUUUGACAAGGGCAGCUCCUAGAAAAGUUACUGUCAACCGGCUCUGGUGGGUAUUCAGAUAAGAGCGUAUUCACCCUGCACUGAGCAAUCUGUUCUCCAAGCAACUGACUCCCUGUGUCACACACUGUGUGCCACACUGUAGGAUAACCAGAUACUAGAGCUGGGAGGUCAGAAGCCCAGGUAGGGGGACUUGCACAAAAUCAGGAAAACAAAAUUCAGGAGACAACAGGUAGGUUUUGUGAUCUUCAUGUUAAGGCUAGUUAUCUGCGCAUGCUUCUAGAGUAGGAGUGGAGAGAGGGGGAGGAAAAGGAAGGAGAGAAAAAUCAAGCAUCUUAUCUGAACUUGAAAUGCUUUCCCUGAAAAAGCACACAUCUGGAAUCUAUUCCCCACAGAAGCCAGCCGCAGACCAGCUCCUUAGUAGGAUGGUCCCAGUUACCCUGAUGCUGACCAAGUGUGGCCUGUGCUUCAUGGAUGGCUGAUAGAAUUUUUCUCUGACAAAUAUUCUUGCCAAAGUUAGUUUUUGGGCCACAGCUCAUAAAUACACAGUAUUUUAGUUAAAGAAGUACAGAAUGUCCUCCUGGGGUUGACAAGCAAAUAGUUUCAUAAAUAACCCUCUUGACACGUGCAAGAUGUUAACAUUUUUGAGGUUUAGGGCAGGGGCAGACACAGAUCUAAUUGCUCUAUUCAGUCUGAAACCACAACUGGACUUUGUUACCUCCUGGGGAACCAUAGAAAUGUUUUUCUCGGCUUGAAAUUUCUUUGGUUGCUUGUCAGCAGCAUACACAAAGCAAUCUCUUCAGGAGAUCCUGGGCCAGGGCGGAUCACAGCCCAGGAGCUGUCAGAGAUCCACUUUCUGCUGAAGACUCCAUCUCUCUGGAGGCCUGUUUCCCUGGUGUGCUGUUUUAGGAGCGAGCUAAGUGGUGGCUGAAGAGCCAAGUCUCACAAGUCAGACGGGCUGGAGGUCCUAGCUGCAGACAAGAGGAUCCACUCUGGUGAGUUUGAGUAGUUGGGAUUUAUUAACAAUAGACCCAAAGUGCAUUUGAUAUUUGUUUUUACUAGAGCAUUAUUGCUCAAUAGUUCAUAAAGUUAUUGAACAGGUUGAAUAAACAGUGUCUGGGGCAAGAAGUUGGGAAGAUCGCCCUGCAAAGCACAGCACAGAACCAGGCCACCUAAGGAGCGGCGGAGUGAGGGAACCACAGUCACGUAAAGCAGAAUGAACCAAGCCAGAACUAACUCUAUCCUUACCACACACAAGACAAAACAAAACAAANCAAAAACAAAACAAAACCCCCAGUGCCUGCAUUUGUGCGGAACUGUAAAACCUCACUGCCUUUAGAAUCGAGGAACACAAAAAUUGAUUUCACUUCUUCAUGGGAAGAGCUGUUAAGCCCCAGGAAAGGGCAAGGAACCAGGAGAGGGUGAAGAUGCCAGGCCAAUUUCCCCGUCUAUAACACGAGGAAGACCAAGGCAGCAGGGAGCUGAGUUAGUUUUGAAGCCUUGUGUGUGUGACAGGGUGACAGGUGAGUGAGCAGCUGUAGGAAGGUAAUCCAGGGACAAGAAUAAUAGCAUUCACAAACACACAAGGCCUCAUCUGGAGUGGUUCCUUAUGGGGUACACUGUGUGAAGGUGAGUCAAUGUACAUCCAGUUGUUAAUUCUGUAAUUGCAGAGAGCUAAAUGAUUGCAGGUUCUUGGUAUUGUUAUUUCUAUGGCCCAUCACUGGUUUCAUGUUUUGUAAAUAUUCAUUCUUCCUCACUUGUCCCAGGCAAUGUUGAAUUGUAUCUGAUUGGCUGUAAUAAAGAUCGGACAACCACUAGCUGGGCAGAAAGUGGAGGGUGGCUCUUCUAGGCUCUAGAGGGAUGCUAGAAGAAUAAAGGGAUAGGAGGUGUGAGGUUCAGCCAGCAAACACAGAGGUAAAUGGGGAGACCAGAGCAGAGAAGGGAGGUAGAGCUGGCCACUGAUGGGAUGUGGUGUCAGGAUUAGUCGGUUUAGAGAGUAACUAUGAGACUGCCUUAGCUGAAAGGCCCAAGUUUGAAAAUAUUAAAAAGUCUCACAUCAUUAUUAAUAUCGCUGGUAGGUCUGAGAUAGUCCCGCUAUAUCUUUAUGUUUACAGCAUUUAGAGUUUAAGAUGGGAGUAACAGUUGAGGUAAAUAGUUAAGUGAGGAGUCAGAUCAUGAUGGCUCUCAUUAUAGCUAGGAAAAUGCCCUGCUUUCUCCAGACAGUAGUUACAGAACACUUCUAACAUCAAAUGCAUGCGUUUUUUUUCCACAUUAGGUAUUUCUCCAGCUCUCUGGACACUGUCCGAUAACUCAGUUACAAUAGUAGUCAUGUGUUGUUGAAAAAAAAACACAGGAGGCUAAGGCUUCAGUGUCCCAUUUCAGGCUCUAGUCACAAGUCCCAGGGUAGCACCUGCAGUGAUCACUCCUGCACAAGUGAGGGAUUCCCACCAACUGCUGCUUUGAGUUCUUGACUCACACAAACUACUUGUUACCUGGGGACAGGCAAAUGGUAGAGAUGCUAAGGGAAAGGCUCAGGGUGUGGCACUGCAUGAUGAAUCCAUAAUCUAUGAGGGUAUGCAAAUCUCUAAGAAUCUGAAUGAAAUUGCCAGUCUGGAAACUCUGUGUACUUCUAAUUUCAUGGAGGUGUCAUAAGACUGGCAUGAUUGAUCAUAUGAUUGGCCAUUUGGAGAUGGAACUCAAUGUCCCUGGAAAUUAGAGGUUGGAGCUCAAAGGACCAGUCCUUUAGUCCCAUGGCUGCAUCUUCUGGCGAUACUCUGGAAAUUCCAAGCAUUUGAGGGGCUUUUUGUAAGGCAGCAGAAAUGAAGAUAAAUAUACACUACAGUAUCAUAAUGAAGGAGCCUGGUUGUAUCCUAGUUAGUGGUGGUGUUGGAGGAGGGGCUUUAUGAACCUUGAGAAGUUAACAUCUGCAUCUGAAAGAAAUGAGAGGGCUCCCGGACUGGAGGACAACAGGGAAAAGCCUGUUAGAAACAAAGGUAGUACAAGGCACCAACAGUAAGUUGGGAAGAUGUGAGUUCAUUUCCCAGACACUGAAACUUGAUAGGAUGUGCUAUGAUUAGAUGUAGGGAUAUGAGGAACACAUUCAAGAUGCUGCCAUGUUUCUGGCUGACCAAUGGUGUGGAUGGUGAUUUAAAGACAAUAGAGGAGCCUUGGUGAGAAAGAGGAUUCAAGAUUUGGGUGGUUUGAGAUUGGGGUGCAGGAUAGAUAGAAUAAUGGCGCCUCAAAGAGACUCUCACAUAUUAUUACUGUAUUUGUCAAAUGAGACUUUGCAGCUAUGGUUAUGGGUUUUGAGUGGGAAGAUGGGUCUGGAUUAUCUGGGUGGACCCAAGGAAACCACAAAGGUCCUUUCGAAUGGGAGGGAAGAAGGCUCUAGGAGAUAAGACAAUAGAAAUUAAAGUUGGACUGAGUCAGACACAGCCCAGGCUACCCUGGAAAGUCAAAAUCAAAUAGAUUGUUCUAGGGAACUUCCAAAGAGGAUGUAGCUCUGUUGGAAUCUUCAUUUCAUCACACUGAGACUGACUCAUAGCCUUCAACUUGUAUUGUUUUAAGCUAAUGAGUAUAUGAUCUAUUCUAGAAGCAAAUUAAAAGAUAAUUCUAGAGGGUUGUGGGAAAUCCACUAGGAUGUACUUGACCUAAGGAUAAAACACCCACACUGGAGAUACAGACACUAAUGUGACUGGCUAAUGGCCUUGGAUUUCCCAGGAAGAUGGUAUGGACUCAGAGGGUUUAAUUCAGGAAGUUUGUUUGAGAGUAAACAGGG
rnacentral:sRNA from 1 species